rnacentral:lncRNA from 1 species
AUCGUCGGAGUGAACUUUUCCAGCGAGAAAGUGUGACCGCUUUUUCAAAUCGCAGAUAGAAACAUAACCGAUUUACAGUUGGAAGAAAUAUGCGUCGAAUAUAUGUGUAGAGAUAAGUAUUGAAAUAAGUCAAAUACACAAUUUUAUAUAUUAAGAGAGAGAGAGAGAGAGAGAGAGAGAGAGAGAGAGGUUCAGUUGGGGAAGUUAAGAAUGGUCUACGGAAGGCGACGAGAGACGAGGUCUUCGCGCCACCUACUUAAGGAAA